GACGAACGCUGGCGGCGUGCUUAACACAUGCAAGUCGAACGGAAAGGCCCUGCGUUUGCGGGUUUCUCGAUUGGGGAACGGGUGAGUGUCACGUGAGUAACCUGUCCCUGACUUUGUGAUAACUUCAGGAAACUGGGGCUAAUAUCGCAUAGGAGCUCCUGCUGCACGGUGGGGGUUGGAAAGUUUCGGCUGUUGUGGAUGGACUCGCGGCUUAUCAGCUGCUUGGUGGGGUAGUGGCGUACCAAGGCUUCGACGGGUAGCCGGCCUGGGCGGGUGACCGGCCACAUUGGGACUGAGAUACGGCCCAGACUCCUACGGGAGGCAGUAGGGGGGAAUAUUGCACAGCGGGCGGAAGCCUGAUGCAGAGACGCCGCGUGCGGGAAGACGGCUUUCGGGUUGUAAACCGCUUUCGCCUGUGACGAAGCGUGCGUGACGGUAAUGGGUAAAGAAGCACCGGCUAACUACGUG
rnacentral:rRNA from 1 species